rnacentral:lncRNA from 1 species
UUUGUGAUGAGAAAAAAUAAAAUAUAAUUAACGUUUCACCGACAAAAUAACUCCACACCCAUCACCCUACUCUCUCCACUGCAGGUUCAAGUCCGCCAUUAAUAUAGCUCUGAAGGAAGCAGGAACACUUCAAAUCAGUGGCGAACAAACCACAGUUGAGUCAAUCACGUAAGCUUCGCCUCCUUUUCAUCCUUGUUUCGUGUACUAGUCUCUAGUACAAGAAAUUAGGGUUUAAAAUUUGGGGUUUUUUGUUUCAGAAAUUGAAGAAAUCAUGUUGAGAUUGAAACGCCCUCUUCCAAAGGACGAGUUUUUAUACGAUGACGAUGAACUGUUGUGCCAUUGCGGACCGCGGGGCUCUAGGUGUAUUUCGCACACCUCCACCAACCCAGGAAAGAAGUUUUUUCGCUGCCCCCGAUAUAUGUCUACAGUUCAGAAAGACUGCGGGUUCUUUGUCUGGUAUGAGGUUAAGCUGGCUGCCAUGAAAGAUAAAUAGGAGCUUGUUCAUAUGGUUGAGAAUUUGCAGGUGCACGUUAGGGAAUUGAAAGAUGCGAAGUUUGGAGGUGGAAGAACAAGUGUGUUCGUCAUCCAAUUUGAGAAUGAAAGACUAUGAUAUUGUUGGUGAGUUGGAGAUGUUGAAACACAGGGUGGGUUUACUAGAGAGAAUGGGGUGUUGCGGACAUGGGAAUAUCAAGUGAGAGAUGUAUGAGUUGUGUAAUGUGUUUUAGGGCUAGGUUGGUAACCCGGUUUGUAGUUCUCAUUAUUAUCCUCUUCAUGUGUUUUGCAACAUUCCGAUGGAAGGUUGGGGACGAUAUUCAGUUUCCUUUUGUAAGCCACAUCUUUUGGUCUUUGUAUCAUCUGAUAUUUCAGUGUUUAUUUAAGCUCCCUGAUCAUUUGAAUUUAGGCUCAGAAAUAUUACAUUCC